CACGUAGGCACCAAGCGUUGUCCGGAUUUAUUGGGCGUAAAGAGCUCGUAGGCGGUUCGGUAAGUCGGGUGUGAAAACUUUGGGCUCAACCCAAAGCCUGCAUUCGAUACUGCUGUGACUUGAGUCCGGUAGGGGAGUGGGGAAUUCCUGGUGUAGCGGUGGAAUGCGCAGAUAUCAGGAGGAACACCGGUGGCGAAGGCGCCACUCUGGGCCGGUACUGACGCUGAGGAGCGAAAGCGUGGGGAGCGAACAGG
rnacentral:rRNA from 1 species